GUGUUUGGCAUUCAGUUCUGGGAAAUUCAGAGCCCAUAGACUGACAUUUGCAUGCCGCAUUGGCCUUGCUCUGUCUUCAGACCAUUCAAGGCCAAAAGACUUUCAGUCUUCACUGGCCGGCAAGUUGACUUAUGUCUCUGAAAUUCCAAAGUUGGUUACUGGGAUUGAAGUUGUUCCUUUCCCAAAUGACUCAAAAUUUGAAGGAAUAUUGAAAAAUUGUAUUUGAAAUUUAAUAUUAAAGACUGACAUACUUAGAUUAAAGGGUAGGUUUUUGAAAAGAUUAAAGUCAUGGUUCAUAUAAACACAAAUGGAUAUCUAAAAAUAAAAAUGAAGCUUUAGUUCAGCUCAUUAAUCAAAGAACCAGUAGGAUGCUACAACUAAUUUAAAAAAGAAUCCAACACAUGUGCACGCACGCACGCACACACACACACACACACACACACACACACACACAGAGAGAGAGAGAGAGAGAGAGAGAGAGAGAGAGAGAGAGAGAGAGUCAGAAUCAUUAUAGGGAAUUUACAAAUAGUGGUGGACUGCUCAAACAGCCAUAGAACAUGACCCUAAACAUAACCUGCAUGUCUAUGGACGUGAAUCAGGUAUUUUUAAAUAUAAAAACAAAUUUUCUAUAACUUACAGGUGUAAAAUGAUCCAAACGAAAGGAAAGUGAGCCAUAACUUGGAGCACUCUGCAAGACAAAGGAUUAGUGUCUGUUCAGUUUUUGUCUAUUCCAGAGUCUGACAUGAUUUUCAUAGGUACACACUUGCUUCUGUGUCCACACAAGGGAUGAUGGACUCCUGGAGACACUUACACAGAUUCACAGACAUUUGCUUCAGGUUAUUCUUAGAGCCACACUGUGCUCUGUUCCUCCUUUUUUUUUUUUUUUUUUUUUUAAUGUACGGUGUGAUGCAGAAAGCCCGGACCUGAGAACAGGGCUGUGUUCUCAGUGCGUGACUGACUUGUGAUGCUUUUGCCAGAGCACCUCCGGUCUGAACUUCAGUUCUCUCUGAAAAGAUGUAGAUGGUAUUUUAGAGACCUCACCGUGUCUCUGUGUCAUGGGAUAAAGGAGACCUCUCCUUCUGACUGCUAAGAAGCUUCAUGUUUACAAAUCCUUCUUUCACUUUAGCACAUGUGGGGGUCUACACUGCUCUGCAAAGCUUCACCGCACACAGACCUUUACUGGCUCCAUCAUCUGUUCAGCACCAUCAUCCAGAGCCCUGUGCUCAUAAGUUUUCUUCUUUCACAUCAGCUGUCGCCCCAGCACUUCUUAGUUUUACUUCCAAUGGGCCCAUCCAGCUCAGCAUCUUCAGAGUUUCCAGCUUCACUACUGUGAGCCAAGUCGUGGCAGAUCUUUCCUGGUUCACUCUCAGCAUCUCUUGAGCUCAUGUAGUCUCUCUACAUCAGGUCUGGCCCUCUAAACUUUCUGCAGAAAUAUUCAAGGUGUCCUUCUAAAAUAGGCAGUUCAGAGUGUAAUAUCCUUUGACUUAAAAUCUUUAGUGGGUUUGUACUGCAACAAUAAAAACUCAGCAUCCCUCCUGUGCCCCGAAAUGCUGUGUGACGUGUGUUGUGUGUGGUUUCCCUCUCCAACUCUGUGCCUUCCAGCUGGAGUGCUCCCUGAUUCCAAGCCCUGAUGCUUUUCUGUUCCUGAGGGGCCAUGCUCAUUCCUGCUGCAGGGACACUGAUCUUCUUAUAUUCUCAGCCUAGGGUGCUUUUUCUGGAGACUCAGGUCUUACCUCAAAUGUCACCUUUUGAGCAGCCUCCUUUGACCUCUGUUGUAAGUAUAUCAUGCUUCCUCUCACCGUCUUGGCUGCCUCUCUUUCUGUUUAUUUCUCACACCUUAGCCCAUUCUCUUCUCCACCUUUGGCCUCUUACCUGCUUUCCCUGUUUUCUUUCCUUCUCUUAUUUAGCAGACAACACCACACAUUCAUACCUCUAUGGCUUGCCUACUGUUGCCUUUAACUGAGAUAAUUUUAUAUGCCCCAUUUUUUUUCUUUUUUUUUCGGAGCUGGGGACCGAACCCAGGGCCUUGCGCUUGCUAGGCAAGUGCUCUACCACUGAGCUAAAUCCCCAACCCCUUAUAUGCCCCAUUUUUGAUGUCAAAGUCGGCGGACACACUUGUUCACAUUUAUUUAUCUCUAAGAAGCUGUGCUCAUCCAGCCAAGAUAAAUCGACGUCAGCUAGUUCAUAGCUCUGGUUACAUGUAUCUGCAAACCCAUGGCUCCUAGUAGAGGCAGAGGAUCCCUUUUGCUGUGCUAGAUGCAUUCUUUGUUCUUAUCCUUAAAUCAAGACACCCCAACACCAGUCUUUUCUGAGAUUAGAGAAACAAAGUGAGGUGUUUUUUUCCUGUGUAAGAACAGAAUGUAAUACACCUUGUGAUUGCUUCCAUGUGACCUAUUUCCCUUUGUUCAUAUCCACUCUGACACAUUUUCUUCUAUAGCUUUUUUAUCUUCUCCCCUAGGAAGAUAAAACAGCCCUUCAUGAUACAUAUUAAUUUUAGAAUCAUUAAGUAAUUAGAAAAACCAGGUGCGAUAAAUAUAGAAGUCAUUAAAAAGUUCAUAGAAUAGUUUGACUUUAGAAGGACUUUGUGCUUAAAAUGUGCCGUGAAAAAUUGACUGGAUCCAGAUGAUGGAAAAGGAAAAUGCACGAUAGGGAAGGAGGGCUGUGUGAAUGGGAAAAGUCGCCCUUGCAUAGCUAGCACAGACCCUGGCUCAAUUUCCACUGGACGGUGUUAUGUUUUAGGUGUAAAAUGUCCCCCAUGGGCUUGGUUAGCUUGGUUCCCUGCUGCUACUGUUUUGACAGGGUAUGGAUCCUGUGGGAAGUGGAGCCUAGCUGGAGGAAGUGGGAGACGGGACUUGAGGUUUAUAGUUCAGCCUCACUUCCUGUUCUGCUGUGCUUCCUUGUCUGUCGAUAUACAAUGAGCAUCCUCAGCUCCUGCUGCCAUGCCUUCUCCACUGUGAUGGACUGUGUUCUCAAACAACGAGAGUUCAAGAUGGCUUUGGCAGCUGACAGAUUUCUCUUUAAGAAUGCACUGGAAGCCGGGGCCAAGGUCAAGACAUUGGCGUCCUUCUGAGCACAGAGUGAAGAUCUGUGGUCCUCUUAUUUCUUUCUUCUUGACUCCUGGCAUUUUGGUGACAAGCAGUUUCAGAUUGCACUUGUCAAAUCAGGAAACAAGGGAAACUUGGAAGGGAAAAUCAAAACAGUUGGAAAAGUCUCAACAGUUACACUUUCGCGUCGCUUACCGUGAAGAACCACUUGGUGUUCUCUAAGAAUGGGUUUGAUUACGCUGCCCACAGCUUUACAAGGUGUUGACCAGCUGGAGAUUUCUGUGUUAACUGCCAGGAGCUGCAAGGAGAAGCUUCUCUUUGAAAGAUGCUCUGAUCUUUGAGUCAGUAGGAGCCAUUUUAAUACUACGUCCAUUUAUCAGACUGAUAGAAUUAGGGUAUCCCCGGGAGUCUAUGACUCAUCUAGCCACAGGUCCUUGGCCUUUUUAGCAGUGCCAGGUCAUGGAGUAGUGUUUGGAUCCAAGCAGGAAAAGGUUGUUUAUUCACAUAAUAUUCACGCCACUAUUGUGUCGGUGGGUAUACCUUGUCAGACCAGGUAUUGCUGUAACUUGUAGAGUUCACAGAUAGGUGAAAAGUAUUUUUCUCUUCUAGCACCAUGCACAGUACCACUCAGCACUGCUCUUCUCCCCUCCGAUGCCCACUUCUUUUCUUUCCAUUCUUCAGUUUUAGAGUGGAUGAGGUCUCACUAUGUAGUACAAGCUGGUUAUGAGCUCACUACAGUGGACUCACUCUGUGUGCUGCUUACAUUUAUCUCAACUUGACACCAACUAUAGUCGUCCGAGAGGAGGGAACCUCAAUUAAGAAAGCACCUCCAUAAGAUCCAGCUGUGGGGCACUUUCUUAAUUGGUGAUUGAUGUGGGAGGGCCCAGACUAUUGUGGGUGGGACUAUCCUUUUGCUAGUGGUCCUGGGUUCUGUAAGAAAGCAGGUUGAGUAAGCCAUGGGGAAUAAGCCAGUAAGCAGCACCCUUCCAUGGCUUCUGCAUCAGCUCCCGUCCUGAUUGAGUCCUGUCCUGGCUUUCUUCAGUGAUGGAUUUCAAUGUGGAAGUGUAAGCCAAAUAAACCCUUUCCUCCUGAA